CCUACGGGAGGCAGCAGUGAGGAAUAUUGGUCAAUGGGCGCUAGCCUGAACCAGCAAAGUAGCGUGAAGGAUGACUGCCCUAUGGGUUGUAAACUUCUUUUAUAUGGGAAUAAAGUGCAGUGUGUAUACUGCUUUGCAUGUACCUUAUGAAGAAGGAUCGGCUAACUCCGUGCCAGCAGCCGCGGUAAUACGGAGGAUUCGAGCGUUAUCCGGAUUUAUUGGGUGUAAAGGGAGCGUAGGCGGGUUGUUAAGUCAGUUGUGAAAGUUUGCGGCUCAACCGUAAAAUUGCAGUUGAUACUGGCAUCCUUGAGUACAGUAGAGGUAGGCGGAAUUCGGGGUGUAGCGGUGAAAUGCGUAGAUAUCACGAAGAACUCCGAUUGCGAAGGCAGCUUACUAAACUGCCACUGACAUUGAUGCUCGAAAGUGUGGGUAUCAAACAGGAUUAGAUACCCUAGUAGUC
rnacentral:rRNA from 1 species